AGCACAGUGUAGUGGUUUGAGUGUUGGACUGCAAUUCUGGAGACCAGGGUUCGAUUCCCAGCUCGGCCA